AGGGCAUUUGGUGGAUGCCUUGGCAUGCACAGGCGAUGAAGGACGUGAUACGCUGCGAUAAGCGUCGGGGAGGUGCGAAUACCCUUUGAUCCGACGAUUUCCGAAUGGGGCAACCCACCUUAGAUGACUAGAAAAUCUGUUUUGUUGGAGCAACGCUGGAUGGGUUUACACCCAUACAGACCGCUAGGUCGUCGGCCCAUGUGGGCCGCCCCCGCGGAGCGCCAGCAUUCCUCUGGAAUGCGUACGGCGCGUGAGCGAGAACAGCACAGCUUUCUAGUCAUCAUAAAUAAGGUAUCUAACCUUGAAUACAUAGGGGUUAGAAGCGAACCUGGGGAACUGAAACAUCUAAGUACCCAGAGGAAAGGACAUCAAACGAGACUCCGCUAGUAGUGGCGAGCGAACGCGGACCAGGCCAGUGGCUUUUGUGAAUAAAGUGGAAUGAGUUGGAAAACUCGACCGAAGUGGGUGAUAGUCCCGUACACGUAGAAUAGCAGAAGUCCUUGAGUAGGGCGGGACACGUGAAAUCCUGUCUGAACAUGGGUCGACCACGAUCCAAGCCUAAGUACUCGUGCAUGACCGAUAGCGAACCAGUACCGUGAGGGAAAGGUGAAAAGCACCCCGACGAGGGGAGUGAAACAGUACCUGAAACCGGAUGCCUACAAACAGUUGGAGCCCAAGGUUUGUCCUGGGUGACAGCGUACCUUUUGUAUAAUGGGUCAGCGACUUAGUGUAUCGAGCAAGCUUAAGCCGGUAGGUGUAGGCGCAGCGAAAGCGAGUCUGAACAGGGCGUUCAGUUCGAUGCAUUAGACCCGAAACCAAGUGAUCUAGCCAUGAGCAGGUUGAAGGUACGGUAACACGUACUGGAGGACCGAACCCAUAUCUGUUGCAAUAGAUCGGGAUGACUUGUGGCUAGGGGUGAAAGGCCAAUCAAACUUGGAGAUAGCUGGUUCUCCGCGAAAUCUAUUUAGGUAGAGCGUCGACCGAAUACCCCCGGGGGUAGAGCACUGGAUGGGCUAUGGGGACUCACCGUCUUACUGAUCCUAACCAAACUCCGAAUACCGGGGAGUACUAGUCGGCAGACACACGGCGGGUGCUAACGUCCGUCGUGGAGAGGGCAACAACCCUGACCACCAUCUAAGGUCCCUAAGUUAUGGCUAAGUGGGAAAGGAUGUGAGGAUCCCAAAACAACCAGGAUGUUGGCUUAGAAGCAGCCAUCAUUUAAAGAAAGCGUAACAGCUCACUGGUCUAAAUAAGGGUCUUUGCGCCGAAAAUGUACCGGGGCUCAAGCCAUACACCGAAGCUGUGGAUGCACGUAUGUGCGUGGUAGCGGAGCGUUCCGUAAGCCUGUGAAGGGACAGUCGUGAGACAUCCUGGAGGUAUCGGAAGUGAGAAUGCUGACAUGAGUAACGAUAAAGGGAGUGAGAGACUCCCUCGCCGAAAGUCCAAGGGUUCCUGCUUAAAGUUAAUCUGAGCAGGGUUAGCCGGCCCCUAAGGCGAGGCCGAAAGGCGUAGUCGAUGGGAACCACGUUAAUAUUCGUGGGCCUGCAGGUAGUGACGGAUCGCGUGUGUUGUGAGGUCUUAUUGGAUUGAUCUUGCAGCGAAGCGGUUCCAGGAAAUAGCUCCUGCAUAUAGACCGUACCCUAAACCGACACUGGUGGACUGGUAGAGAAUACCAAGGCGCUUGAGAGAACUGCGUUGAAGGAACUCGGCAAAAUGCACGCGUAACUUCGGAAGAAGCGUGACCUCACUAUGGGCAACCAUAGGGGGGUGGCACAGACCAGGGGGUAGCGACUGUUUACCAAAAACACAGGGCUCUGCGAAGUCGCAAGACGACGUAUAGGGUCUGACGCCUGCCCGGUGCUGGAAGGUUAAGAGGAGAGGUGCAAGCCUUGAAUUGAAGCCCCAGUAAACGGCGGCCGUAACUAUAACGGUCCUAAGGUAGCGAAAUUCCUUGUCGGGUAAGUUCCGACCUGCACGAAUGGCGUAACGACUUCCCCGCUGUCUCCAACGCAGACUCAGUGAAAUUGAAUUCCCCGUGAAGAUGCGGGGUUCCUGCGGUUAGACGGAAAGACCCCGUGCACCUUUACUAUAGCUUUACACUGGCAUUCGUGACGACAUGUGUAGGAUAGGUGGUAGACUUUGAAGCAGGGGCGCCAGCCUUUGUGGAGUCACCCUUGAAAUACCACCCUUGUUUUUAUGGAUGUCUAACUGCGGCCCGUUAUCCGGGUCCAGGACCGUGUAUGGUGGGUAGUUUGACUGGGGCGGUCGCCUCCUAAAGAGUAACGGAGGCGCGCGAUGGUAGGCUCAGAACGGUCGGAAAUCGUUCGUCGAGUGCAAUGGCAUAAGCCUGCCUGACUGCAAGACUGACAAGUCGAGCAGAGACGAAAGUCGGUCAUAGUGAUCCGGUGGUCCCGCGUGGAAGGGCCAUCGCUCAACGGAUAAAAGGUACGCCGGGGAUAACAGGCUGAUGACCCCCAAGAGUCCAUAUCGACGGGGUUGUUUGGCACCUCGAUGUCGACUCAUCGCAUCCUGGGGCUGGAGCAGGUCCCAAGGGUAUGGCUGUUCGCCAUUUAAAGCGGUACGUGAGUUGGGUUCAGAACGUCGUGAGACAGUUCGGUCCCUAUCUGCCGUGGGUGUAGGAAUAUUGACAGGAUCUGUCCCUAGUACGAGAGGACCGGGAUGGACGUAUCUCUGGUGGACCUGUUGUGGCGCCAGCC
rnacentral:rRNA from 1 species